UCCUACGGGAGGCAGCAGUGGGGAAUAUUGGACAAUGGGCGCAAGCCUGAUCCAGCAAUGCCGCGUGUGUGAAGAAGGCCUUCGGGUUGUAAAGCACUUUUAUCAGGAAAGAAAUCCUGCCGGUUAAUACCCGGCGGGGAUGACGGUACCUGAGGAAUAAGCACCGGCUAACUUCGUGCCAGCAGCCGCGGUAAUACGAAGGGUGCAAGCGUUAAUCGGAAUUACUGGGCGUAAAGGGUGCGUAGGCGGCCUGUUAAGUCAGAUGUGAAAGCCCUGGGCUCAACCUGGGAAUGGCAUUUGAGACUGGGAGGCUGGAGUGCGGUAGAGGGUGGUGGAAUUCCCGGUGUAGCGGUGAAAUGCGUAGAGAUCGGGAGGAACAUCGAUGGCGAAGGCAGCCACCUGGACCAGCACUGACGCUGAGGCACGAAAGCGUGGGGAGCAAACAGGAUUAGAUACCCUGGUAGUCCACGCCCUAAACGAUGCGAACUGGAUGUUGGGCUCACUUAGGAGUUCAGUAUCGAAGCUAACGCGUAA
rnacentral:rRNA from 1 species